rnacentral:ncRNA from 1 species
CUAACGUGUUCGAGUCAGUGGCUUGCAAGAAAGCCACCACGGCUCAAUAAAGGUGAAAGCCUGCCUGACUCGCCAGCCAAGGUGGGAUCCUGAGGCCUCUCUGGUCUGCCAAGGGUACAUUACUGGCCCAUCUCACCCACCACAUCAGGGAGGUGGAGCAUGAAUGCACGUGUUAGGAUUCAAGAGAUGGUGAACUAUGCCUGGGCAGGGCAAAGCCAGAGGAAAUUCUGAUAGAGGGCUGUAGCAGUCCAACAUGAAAAGCAGUAAUCUGACCUGGGUAUACUGGCAAAAGAUUAAUUGAACCCUCUAGUAGCAAG